rnacentral:rRNA from 1 species
GGGGGGUACGGGUAGCAGGUCUGAUGCAGCGUGCCGCGUGCAGGAUGACUGCCCUAUGGUUUGUAACCUGUUUUUAUACAGAAAAAACAAAUGAUACUUGUCGAGGAAUGACGGUACUGUAACUCUAAGGCCCGGCUAACUCCGUGACAGCAGACGCGGUAAUACUUCGGAUCCGAGCGUUAUCCGGAAUUAUUGGGUUUAAAGGGUCCGUAGGCGGAUGAUUAAGUCACUGGUGAAUCUUGCAGCUCAACUGUUCUUUGCCUUUGAUACUGGUUAUCUUGAGUUGUCCCGGUGGAGCGGAAUAUGUAGUGUAGCGGUGAAAUGCAUAGAUAUUACAUAAAACACUGAUUGCGAAUUUUCCUUACUAUGAAAUAACUGACGCUGAUGGUGAUUAGCGUUAGAUACCAACAGGAUUAUAUACCCUGGCAAUCCACGCCCUAUGCCAUGGAAACUACCUGUUCCGGUGCUCGAGCUCACGCCUGCUAUUUCCCGCCGGGGGAUUACCCUUGUGAAAGUGACACUCGCAGGAAUUGACGGCAAAUGAAUUGACGG